ACUCAAAUGAAUUGACGGGGACCCGCACAAGCGGUGGAUGAUGUGGUUUAAUUCGAUGCAACGCGAAAAACCUUACCCACCUUUGACAUGGCAGGAAGAUUUCAGAGAUGAGAUCGUGCUCGCAAGAGAACCUGCACACAGGUGCUGCAUGGCUGUCGUCAGCUCGUGUCGUGAGAUGUUGGGUUAAGUCCCGCAACGAGCGCAACCCUUGUCAUUAGUUGCUACGAAAGGGCACUCUAAUGAGACUGCCGGUGAUAAACCGGAGGAAGGUGGGGAUGACGUCAAGUCCUCAUGGCCCUUAUAGGUGGGGCCACACACGUCAUACAAUGGCUGGUACAAAGGGUUGCCAACCCGCGAGGGGGAGCCAAUCCCAUAAAGCCAGUCGUAGUCCGGAUUGUAGUCUGCAACUCGACUGCAUGAAGUCGGAAUCGCUAGUAAUCGUGGAUCAGCAUGUCACGGUGAAUACGUUCCCGGGUCUUGUACACACCGCCCGU
rnacentral:rRNA from 1 species